AUAUGACAACCUGUCAAUUACCGUGUCCAAAUCUCCCAAUUUCCUUUCAAUUACUAAUGCUUAUCAACCAUAUACUAUAUCAAUAAUUAAAGAAAUUGGAGACCCAAUUGAAUAGAAAGUCUUCGUUGAAUUCUCUCUCUAGGAACCAAGAUUCAAGUUGUUGAGAACAUUUCCUAUGGAUUUCUCAAUAACCCAGGUAGAGUUGGUAGGAAACGAUUUGAAAUCGACAAUGAUAUGGUCAAGGAGGUGCCUCUUUGGUCGUCGAACAAAUAUUGGAUCUUUGGCUUGUGCUGUGGAUAUGUCAGCAUCAACUAUGUUUCGGCGCUUCAAAGAAGGAGAUAUAAGGGCAUACACCAAUGCCAUAAAACCACAUUUGACAGAGAACAAAAAAAAAGCAAGGCUUGAAUUCUGUUUGUCAAUGAUUGAAUCAAGUACACUUCAUUCGAAUCCUAUAUUUUUAGACAUGUUUAACUAUGUCCAUAUUGAUGAAAAAUGGUUCUUUCUAGCCAAAAAAAAGGGAAAGGUAUUAUCUUCUCCCCGAAGAACAAGAACCAAACCCUUAUAGGUUUUGCCAAAGUAAGAAUUUUAUAAUGAAAGUUAUGUUUAUGGCCGUGAUAGAAUUUUAUAAUGAAAGUUAUGUUUAUGGACGUUGUAUCACGCCCUAGGUUUGAUGAAGAUGGAGUAGAGUUGUUUUCAGGGAAAAUAUGAAUCUUUCCUUUUGUUGUCAAGGAACCAGCUAAAAGGAGUAGCAAAAUUCGAGUGGCUGGAACUUUGGAAACAAAGCCUAUUUUAUCUGUCACUAAAGAUGUCACUAGGAGUUGUUUAAUUAAAAAGGUUCUCCCAGCGAUUCGAUCAAAAUGGCCACUUCCACAUGCAAAUGCUCCUAUUUUUAUCCAACAAGAUAACGCAAGACCGCAUCUUAGCGUCAACGACGUAGAAUUUAAUGAAGCUGCCAAACAGGAUGGUUUUGAUAUUAGGUUAUGCUUUCAACCUCCUAAUAGUCCAGAUCUAAAUGUUUUAAACCUUGGAUUCUUCAGAGCUAUUCAAUCACUUCAGUAACAAAUGACUCCUUCAACUAUUGAUGACUUAAUAAAUGCAGUUGAAAAAUCUUUUAAUGAGAUGGAAGUUCACCAACUCAAAUAUGUGUUUCUCACUCUACAGUCUUGCAUGGCUGAGGUGCUGAAAGAUAUGAAAAGGGAUAGAUUAGAACGAGAAGGAAAUCUUCCUAUUCAAGUUCGUUGUGACGUUGGCGUAGUCAAUGAAGCUGUAGCUCUACUUCAAAUGUGAUAUUUUGUAAACUUAACCAUCAUGUAGUUUUUGUAUAACCUCUCUUUUUGCAUAGACUUGUGUAUUUAAAGAAGUUAUGAACAUCAAGUCUGUAGUUUCUAUGGAAUCCUCUCUUGUAAAGGCUAUGUAUUUAAAGAAGCUCAGAACGUUUGAUAUGUAGGUUUUGUAUAGUUUCUCUCCUUGUAAAGUCUCGUGCUUUUUUGAGAAGCUGCAAAUGUUAAGUUUAUGUUUGUGGGAAGUCUAGUGCAUUUAUAAGUU